CAGGAGCUGGUCCACCAGGCGCUGGAAGGUGGCCGGUGCUCCCUUGAGGCCGAAAGGCAGGGUCAGGAACUCAUAGAGCCCCAGAGGGGUGAUAAAGGCCGAUUUCAGUCGGGCAUCUGCAUCCAGCGGCACUUGCCAGUAGCCCUUUGUAAGGUCCAUGGUGGUGAGGUACCGAGCUCCUCCCAGCUUGUCUAGGAGCUCAUCAGGCCUGGGCAUGGGGUAGGCAUCAGAUACAGUGAUGGCAUUGAGCU